AUGAACGCUGGCGGCGUGCCUAAUACAUGCAAGUCGAACGCUCCAUUUCAUUUCGGUGGGAUGGAGAGUGGCGCACGGGUGAGUAACACGUAGCUGACCUGCCCUUCAGAGGGGGACAACUGCUGGAAUCGGCAGCUAAUACCCCGUACGCUCGCGAGGACCAGAAGACUCGUGAGGAAAGCCGCAAGGUGCUGAAGGAGGGGGCUGCGACCCAUCAGCUAGUUGGUAGGGUAACGGCCUACCAAGGCGAGGACGGGUAGGGGGCCUGAGAGGGUGACCCCCCACACUGGGACUGAGACACGGCCCAGACUCCUACGGGAGGCAGCAGUAAGGGAUAUUGCGACAAUGGACGAAAGUCUGACGCAGCAACGCCGCGUGCGGGAUGACGGCCUUCGGGUUGUAAACCGCUUUUCGGGGGGAAGAGGAAGGACGGUACCCCCGGAAUAAGUCUCGGCUAACUACGU
rnacentral:rRNA from 1 species